GAUGAACGCUGGCGGCGUGCCUAACACAUGCAAGUCGAACGGAGAUUACGGACGGAAGUUUUCGGAUGGAAGACUGUAAUUCUUAGUGGCGGACGGGUGAGUAACGCGUGGGCAACCUGCCCUAUACAGGGGGAUAGCAGCUGGAAACGGCUGGUAUGACCGCAUAAGUCGGCGAGACCGCAUGGUUUUGCCGGGAAAUGAGCAAUCAGGUAUAGGAUGGGCCCGCGUCCGAUUAGCCAGUUGGCAGGGUAAAAGCCUACCAAAGCAACGAUCGGUAGCCGGACUGAGAGGUCGGACGGCCACAUUGGGACUGAGACACGGCCCAAACUCCUACGGGAAGCAGCAGUGGGGGAUAUUGCACAAGGGAGGAAACUCUGAUGCAGCGACGCCGCGUGAGUGAAGAAGUAUUUCGGUAUGUAAAGCUCUAUCAGCAGGGAAGAUGAUGACGGUACCUGACUAAGAAGCCCCGGCUAACUACGUG
rnacentral:rRNA from 1 species